rnacentral:piRNA from 1 species
UAGAAUUGGUAAGAAAACUGGCUGGCUGCU